GGGGUAUAAGUCAAGAGUCGAGUGACUUUCUGAGACAGACCAAAGAGGAGAGGCAUCCUUGAGGUUGACAUCGAUGUGGAGAACUAAUCUGCCUGUGGGCUGUGAUUCAGACCCAAGGACCCUCAGAUAUCCCUCUGCUGGAACUCCCCCAGAUGACAGACACCGCUCUCCUCUCCAUUCCUCCACACUACCCCAGUAGCCUUUGACCUCGCCGGCACCUCUGCCUCUCCGCUCGGCCGGCCUCGCAUUCCAGUAAAGGAGCUGAAACCUGAGCCCCGGUGAGCUCAUCGCCGGGCUGCGGAAUCAAGAGUUAAAUGAUACCAAAAAACAGUGAGGGGAGAGAAAACGCAGACAGAAGGGGGAGAGGCAGCCGUUGGUGCGGGACAGGUCUGGAACUGGUUCUAUGUGUGCGCUUGCCGGGACUCCUCGGGGGUUAAGUUACACCAGAGAGAGCAAGGAGGAAGAGGAAGGAGAAACUGCUGGCGUCUUUGAAUUAUCUUUGCUUUUGUCUUGUCUCUCCGCGGCCUGGCUGAGUGGUGCCUGCAGUUUCCUCUUGACACACUCCAGCGAGCCCGCCGACCUCCAUCCGCGCUUUCAAGUUAACGAGCCCCGAUGGUCUCGUCCUCGUGUCUCAGAGCCGGGCUGGGAUGUGAGUGUAAUGCUGCGAGGUCGCGCUCCGCACUCACUCUGAGUCUCUGUUCUUCUCCGACCCUGCCAUGACCACCAACUGUCCAAAGAUGAUCGAGCGGCCGUGGCCUCUCAGCUUCAUCUCAUGACCCCUCAUGGUGGGUCUGACCCCAGGUUGGGAACCUUUGAACUAAAGCCUAUUCAGCAGGAAUUGAAAGCUGUUUUUCUUGGACAGCAGAAUAACAUGUAGUUUAAGACUCUGUCAAUACUUAAAGGUGAGACUGUUUUUUUUUGCUUUUAAUACCUUAUCCAUGAAUGUGCAGUCGUAUCAGAGGUGGUGUGGUAACUGUUCUAUUCACAGACUGAAAGUGAUUAUUGUCGUACCCCUCACAUUUGAAGCUGUUAACACUCUGACAGUGCAGAUUCAUCUUGCACACCGAGUCAAAACAUACCCUUGCCCACAUGUGUCUGAAUGACCAAUAGGAGUAUUCAUC